GACGAACGCUGGCGGCGUGCUUAACACAUGCAAGUCGAACGGAAAGGCCCUGCUUUUGUGGGGUGCUCGAGUGGCGAACGGGUGAGUAACACGUGAGUAACCUGCCCUUGACUUUGGGAUAACUUCAGGAAACUGGGGCUAAUACCGGAUAGGAGCUCCUGCUGCAUGGUGGGGGUUGGAAAGUUUCGGCGGUUGGGGAUGGACUCGCGGCUUAUCAGCUUGUUGGUGGGGUAGUGGCUUACCAAGGCCUUGACGGGUAGCCGGCCUGAGAGGGUGACCGGCCACAUUGGGACUGAGAUACGGCCCAGACUCCUACGGGAGGCAGCAGUGGGGAAUAUUGCACAAUGGGCGGAAGCCUGAUGCAGCAACGCCGCGUGCGGGAUGACGGCCUUCGGGUUGUAAACCGCUUUCGCCUGUGACGAAGCGUGAGUGACGGUAAUGGGUAAAGAAGCACCGGCUAACUACGUGCCAGCAGCCGCGGUGAUACGUAGGGUGCGAGCGUUGUCCGGAUUUAUUGGGCGUAAAGGGCUCGUAGGUGGUUGAUCGCGUCGGAAGUGUAAUCUUGGGGCUUAACCCUGAGCGUGCUUUCGAUACGGGUUGACUUGAGGAAGGUAGGGGAGAAUGGAAUUCCUGGUGGAGCGGUGGAAUGCGCAGAUAUCAGGAGGAACACCAGUGGCGAAGGCGGUUCUCUGGGCCUUUCCUGACGCUGAGGAGCGAAAGCGUGGGGAGCGAACAGGCUUAGAUACCCUGGUAGUCCACGCUGUAAACGGUGGGUACUAGGUGUGGGGUCCGUUCCACGGGUUCCGUGCCGUAGCUAACGCUUUAAGUACCCCGCCUGGGGAGUACGGCCGCAAGGCUAAAACUCAAAGGAAUUGACGGGGCCCCGCACAAGCGGCGGAGCAUGCGGAUUAAUUCGAUGCAACGCGUAGAACCUUACCUGGGUUUGACAUGGAUCGGGAGUGCUCAGAGAUGGGUGUGCCUCUUUUGGGGUCGGUUCACAGGUGGUGCAUGGCUGUCGUCAGCUCGUGUCGUGAGAUGUUGGGUUAAGUCCCGCAACGAGCGCAACCCUUGUUCACUGUUGCCAGCACGUUAUGGUGGGGACUCAGUGGAGACCGCCGGGGUCAACUCGGAGGAAGGUGGGGAUGACGUCAAGUCAUCAUGCCCCUUAUGUCCAGGGCUUCACGCAUGCUACAAUGGCUGGUACAGAGAGUGGCGAGCCUGUGAGGGUGAGCGAAUCUCGGAAAGCCGGUCUCAGUUCGGAUUGGGGUCUGCAACUCGACCUCAUGAAGUCGGAGUCGCUAGUAAUCGCAGAUCAGCAACGCUGCGGUGAAUACGUUCCCGGG
rnacentral:rRNA from 1 species